CCAGUUGUCAUGCGGAAAGUCUCUAUUCUGUACUGAUCUCUCUAUUUUCCCAUGGCAUGAAAUUGUCUGUGCGCUGGCUUUCUUAUCAACUGGAAGGGGUCAACAAUUCCAAUGCCAGGAGAGACCAGAGAGAUAGAAGUGAGAGAAUCCAGCUGGGUGAAGACAGUGGAGAGUGAUGGGACCAUCUGUGGCAAGUGGCAGGCCUUUCAGAAAUACAUGUCAACAAAGCUUGAACAGAACCUGAGAAGUAAAAGUGAUGUAUCAAAAUAGGGGGCACAAUCAAGUUGGUGGAGUGAGAGGACACGGAACUCAACUCCCUCCAGGAGCACAUCAAAAAUACAUCUACAUGUGGAGCAAUUCUCACUGAAAACUAACUGGAGACUGGCAGAAAGAGUCUUCUACAACCAAGGCUGUAAGAAAUACCCACAUGGAAUUGGUGUCAAGGGAAAAGAAGCCAUCAAGUCAAGACCUGUGCCCCUGAGAUGGAACUCAGGAGGGGGAUUACAUAGGCAGAGAUCUGCCCUGGUGAGUGAGUGGUUUGAGCCACAUAUUGGGCUCUCCAGUGCUGGAAUCUAACACCAAGAAGAUAAAGUCCCCUUGGCUAGUUGGAGGGCUGGUGAGAUUAAUAGGAAGGCUGUGGGAAGCCUGGACUCUGCCCAUGAGGAACACAGGCAUGCUUCGUUACUCCCGACGCAAGGUACAGAGGGUGAAUUGAAACUGCACAGGACAUUGGCCAGUUUCCUGCAACUGCCCAGGCACCUCAGCCUGAGCUGAGUGCCCGCUUUGGUCCCACUUGCUUCACCAUGCAGGUCCACACAGGGCAAGGGCUACAGGGGCCAAGGGGAGAGGCUCCAUCGUGAGGGACAAUGCAACUCAGGCUUGAAGUGGCAUCUCAGCUGGUGGGAGGGCAGCCAUUACUGAUGCUUACUGAGGCAGCUAUCAGAAAUGGUCCUGGGCCCUGACAGCAGCCAGGGCCACCAAAACCCACGCUCAAACCCAUGCCAAACACCUGCACCAGCCCCUUUUGCUCCAGCACUGCUCCUCUCUAGGGUGAGGGUGCCAGUGCUAGGAGGGGAGAGACCACACACUUAAAGGGAAUGGAGCCAGCCUAGACCCACCCUCAGGGCUUCUGCUCCAGCAACUUACUACCUACCCCUAUCCCCAAUAGGGUGGUGCUGGCUAUUGAGCAGAGGAAAAGCCUUGGCUCAUACCUGGCUCUAGCUCUAGCCACUCCAUCUCCAGCCCUACCUCCUAGCCAGGUGAUAGCACCCUAGGGAAAGACAUGACUCAUGCUCAUGUCAGAUCCAUGUCUCCCACCAAAGCCACUGGGCACAUGCAGACUGUAUAGGGAUAUUCCCACAUAAGAACAACCCUUCAAGACUGCAGUAGGUGACUUUUUCACCUAAUUUGAUAGAGACAGAGAAAGUUAAGCAAAAUAAGACAGGGAAUUUGUUUCAAUUGGAAGAAGAAGAAAAAACUGCUGGAAAAACAACUAAUGAAACAGAA